rfam:Schistosoma rodhaini strain Burundi genome assembly, scaffold: SROB_scaffold0010494
AUCUAGCUGAAGAGUACGAAAUAAGACGAAACUCGCGUCAAACUGGAU